rnacentral:rRNA from 1 species
GCCCUUAGAGUUUGAUCCUGGCUCAGGAUGAACGCUGGCGGCGUGCCUAAUACAUGCAAGUCGAACGAAUCUCUUUUAGAGAUGAGUGGCGAACGGGUGAGUAAUACAUAGGUAACCUGCCCCUGUGCGGGGGAUAACAGGAGGAAACUCCUGCUAAUACCGCAUAGCCAUGAGCACCGCAUGGAGCUCAUGCCAAAUAUCCUUUAUGGGAUAGCGCAGGGAUGGACCUAUGGCGCAUUAGCUGGUUGGCGGGGCAACGGCCCACCAAGGCAACGAUGCGUAGCCGGCCUGAGAGGGCGGACGGCCACAUUGGGACUGAGACACGGCCCAGACUCCUACGGGAGGCAGCAGUAGGGAAUUUUCGGCAAUGGGGGAAACCCUGACCGAGCAACGCCGCGUGAGCGAAGAAGGCCUUCGGGUCGUAAAGCUCUGUUGUAAAGGAAGAACGGCGCAUACAGGAAAUGGUAUGCGAGUGACGGUACUUUACCAGAAAGCCACGGCUAACUACGUGCCAGCAGCCGCGGUAAUACGUAGGUGGCGAGCGUUAUCCGGAAUCAUUGGGCGUAAAGAGGGAGCAGGCGGCCGCAAGGGUCUGUGGUGAAAGACCGAAGCUAAACUUCGGUAAGCCAUGGAAACCGGGCGGCUAGAGUGCGGAAGAGGAUCGUGGAAUUCCAUGUGUAGCGGUGAAAUGCGUAGAUAUAUGGAGGAACACCAGUGGCGAAGGCGACGGUCUGGGCCGCAACUGACGCUCAUUCCCGAAAGCGUGGGGAGCAAAUAGGAUUAGAUACCCUAGUAGUCCACGCCGUAAACGAUGGUCACUAAGUGUCGGGGGUCAAACCCCGGUGCUGCAGUCAACGCAAUAAGUGACCCGCCUGAGUAGUACGUUCGCAAGAAUGAAACUC